ensembl:lncRNA
UGGUUACUCAUCCGUGAUGUGGGACUCUGAACUCUUCCCAGCUGAUAUGAGGAACACGCUCCACCACCUUGUUAGCCUCUUUGAAGCAGUCCCGAGGGUUCCCCUAGGCUCCGUGUCUUAGAUCAUGAUCCUAGAGCAUCUCCUCUGUUCUUAUGAAUAAUGAGAAACAGCAGAAGAAUCAGGGCCGCCACCUUCCCUGUCCUCAGAAUAAUGAUGCACCGUACGCCAGCUGUCCACACCAAGCAGAGCAUGUGGAUUAGCUGAGUCAGAGCGAUGCAGGAGGGCUUCCAUAGCAGACUGUGGGCUUGGCUGACUUUGAUCUAUUCUGGACACUAUGCUGACUCAGCGCUGAUGAUGGAAGGCCGCAGAUGAAAAGCCUGGGAGACCAAAUAUUCAUACAGGAGGCUCAAGAGUCCCAGUGGUCCCCACAGCCUCAUGGGAAGGACUGGGAGGAAUGAGAGUUGGUGUGGACCCUGGCAUCAGUUACGGGAGUCUGGCACUGGAGGACCUGGCUAGACAGCAGUUCCUGGGAAGCUGGUGUGGGACUGCUAGGUGGUCCCAAGUUUAAUUUGAGCCAGACACACAGGGCUGGCAAGGAACACAAGACCCUGGUCUGCAGGAGAUGCCUGUGGGCUCUGAGGACGGGAGAGCAGAAAGCGGCUUUAAAUGAGCUAGGCAGAGCACAUUUGGAAGAUGGAUGUCAGUUGUGGAGACUGUUCUUGGUGGGGAUACUUCCAGUGCUUCAGGGGCUAAGGAGGAAGUGCAUGGAGGGACUGCCCUGGGAAACCAUGGCAUCAUGAGGAAUGCUAGAGGACCCAGGGAUGGUUCCCAGGAAAAGAGAUGACCACAAGGAAGAAAGGGACUAUUAUGGAUUUCUUCCCGCGUAAUCCAGAUGUCUAGGUAAUUAGGAGCACUUGCUGUUCUUGCAGAGGACCAGAGUUCAGUUCCUAUCACAACAGCCUGUAACUCCAGCUCCAGGGGAUCUGGUGCCUUCCUCUGGUCCCUUUGGGUUCCAGCACACAUGUGUGUAUACACACAGAGAGACAUGCAUGCAACACAUAAACAAAUAUUAAUUAUUGGAUAUCUCAGGGAGUAGGAGAGAAUCUCUUAGCACAUUUGAAGGCAUGGUGGUGGAUGGUGCUCACCACUGAGUAUUGCUUCAAGAAGCAGGGGUGCAGCUGAAUGGCAAUGGGUAGCUAAGAAGCCUUGGCCUUUGGAAACAUUUGAGAUUAAUGGCCAGGGGCCAGAGACCUCACAAUGUACAGAACAGCCACUGCAGCAAAGAACGACGGGACGUGGAGUGCUCCUGGCAUAGAGCAGAGAUGCUGCACUCUCUCUGCCUAGAGAUGCAGGUGUGCGCACACAGGAGCCCACAAGCACUUCCGCUCUGCCGAUGGUGGGGGCACAGGCUUCCACAUCUCAUCCUUUCCAUGUGCCUGCCCAUGGAGACGGCUUUGCGUCGCGCGCAUGAGCGGAGCAUCUCCAGCCUCCAGACGCCGUUCUCUGGGCUUGGAUCACUGACUGGCUCAUUCUUCGGCUGAUGGACACUCAGGUCGUUUCUAGCUUCUGCACACAAGGUCCCAGGACAAUGCUUGUCCACAGCUUGGAGAACCCAUGGCGGACAGCUGGUGUGUCUGUCUGCUAACUCCUUCUAGUAGACUAGCUAGGUCAAAGUGGACAAGAGUUCAGGAUGCUCGCAGGUGUUGCCAAAGGCCUUCUGAAGAUACUCAUCGCGCACUCCCAUCUCCCACCAGCCUGUCAACAGGAUGCUUCUGUUCUAUUUGAAAACAAGGGUAAUUCAUAAGCGUUCAUUUUCCAGAAAACAGAAAUUGGGAUAAAGACCCCCGAGUGUCCAGUGUCAGAGGUGUUCUCUGUAAUCAGAGGGACAGAGACAAACCAACGUACAAUGUGUGUCUUGGAGUUGGCCUAGCACAGCCUCAAGGAUUCUUUGAGUUUUCAUGCAGGCCUGGGGGACGUCCAGUCUUCUUCCUCCUCCAAUUCUUCUCCUCUUAGGCAUUUACUCUUCCUUCUUGCCCUCCUCCUCCUACUUCCUCAUAGGGUUUGUACAGCCCCAAACUGACCUUGAACUGACUGGGCAGUUGAGCGUGACCUUGAACUUUUGAUCCUCCUGUCUCUGCUUUCCAAAAGUUGUGUAUUGGCUAGCUUUAUGUCAAUUUGACACAAGCUAGAGUUGUCCGAAAGGGGCGAACUUCAACUGAGAAAAUGCCUCCAUGAGAUCCAGCUGCAGGGCACUUUUUUUGUAAUCAGUAGGGGAGUACCCAGUCCAUUGUGGGUGGGGCCAUCCCCGGGCUGGUGGUCCUGGGUUCUAUAAGAGAGCAGGCUGAGCAAGCCAGGGGAAGCAAGCCAGUAAGCAGCACCCCUCCACCGCCUCUGUGUCAGCUCCUGCCUCCUGGUUCCUGUCUUGCUUGAGUUCCUGUCCUGACUUCUUUUGAUGAUGAGCAGUGAUACAGAAGUGUAAGUCAAAUAAGUUCUUUCCUCUCUAAGUUGCUUUGGUCAUGGUGUUUCAAUUAAAGCAAUAGGAACCCUAACUAAGUCGAGUUGGAUCACCAAUUCUAUUUUUAAAAAACCUUUUCUUUUUAAAUGCUUUAGCUCCCAUUUUAAAAUACU